GGGAGCGCAGAGGGGGGGGAA
rnacentral:rRNA from 1 species